rnacentral:rRNA from 1 species
GUAGGUGGCAAGCGUUGUCCGGAAUUAUUGGGCGUAAAGCGCGCGCAGGCGGGUUCUUUAAGUCUGAUGUGAAAGCCCACGGGCUCAACCGUGGAGGGUCAUUGGAAACUGGGGAACUUGAGUACAGAAGAGGAAAGCGGAAUUCCACGUGUAGCGGUGAAAUGCGUAGAGAUGUGGAGGAACACCAGUGGCGAAGGCGGCUUUCUGGUCCGUAACUGACGCUGAGGCGCGAAAGCGUGGGGAGCAAACAGGAUUAGAUACCCUGGUAGUCCACGCCGUAAACGAUGAGUGCUAAGUGUUAGGGGGUUUCCGCCCCUUAGUGCUGCAGCUAACGCAUUAAGCACUCCGCCUGGGGAGUACGGCCGCAAAGGCUG